UGCUUUAAAACCACGACACUGUGUAACUUAGGGAGAAAGUAACCAGCUCUGCCUUCUCUUGGCUCAAAUAGAAUAAUUUUUGGAGGUGGGAUGCAAAGCUUGAAAUAACAAUGAGCUGUUCUGGGGUAUAUUUUAUACCCUUUAGGCAACAUUCAUAGCUUCCAAUCUAAGAUAUAACCAAAGUCAGUUCUCAGAAGUGAUGGGCAGGAUAAAGUCAGGCUUAAAAUAUGUCAAAAUAAGACAUGCAAUAAGAUUGGAACAUUUUUUUUGUUUUUGAAGUCCAAAUUUAAGCAUGAUAAAUAAUGUGCAUGCCACAGACAUGUAUAAUAUGUACUGAACUCAGUUACUGGGUAGCUUGUAAUCAAAAUAUAGGUGUACCAGUGUGGCAUUGCCUAUUGGAGAAAUAAGGAACAAAUCCAUGCAUGAAAUUUUAAUUUUGUUCUCUUGGAAAUUUUUCAAUAUGUGAUUCAAAAUUUUAAUUCCUUUCCAUUACAAGUCAGAAGGAAGAUUGUUUUUUAAUACCUGAAAGCUAAAAAUAGUUUCAGAUUUCAAAGAACCUGGCUUUGCCAGUGAAGUACAUACCUGAGAUUUAGAAUUAUCCAUUCAGAGUAGGGGUUUAGUCCAUACUUCUUGUACACAUAAGCAGCAUGUUGCAGACAACCAGAGGUAUGGCUAAAAGAAACUGCCACCUCAAAACCGCUCAUAGCAGGCAAAAAACACAUCACAGCUUGAAGAAACGGGAAUGUGUGGCAGGCAGGUAGUCCAUGAGGAUCAUUUUUACCAAGACAUGCUUUUCUGAUAGUUUUCCUUGCAUUCCUGACAAGCCUUCUAGAGCUUUUACAGAUUAAGAAUUUUAAUAAUUUCAAUUCAAUCUCCCUGCUAAUGAGACUGGCAUGAGGAAAUCUUUGAAAUCUUUGGAUAAUUCAGCAAUAUUUACAGCAGAUGGCUUCCUCUUUGUAGAUCUGACUUAUUAUUAGUAGGAUGCAUUUUAAGGAAAAUAAGAAAAUUCAAAAGACACCCAAAAGACAGAUUAAAAUGACCUGCAAGAAUACUUUCCUGCAUGCUUUCUGCUUUGAGGUGGCCACAGAACAGCUGAGAAAGAACUUAGAUGCAGGCUACAAAAUUGAAAUGAAGCACAGAAAAGUAAAG
rnacentral:lncRNA from 1 species